rnacentral:rRNA from 1 species
GAAUUCGAUUCAGGCCUAACACAUGCAAGUCGAACGGCAGCACGGGUGCUUGCACCUGGUGGCGAGUGGCGAACGGGUGAGUAAUAUAUCGGAACGUACCUUAUUGUGGGGGAUAACGCAGCGAAAGCUGUGCUAAUACCGCAUAAUCCCUAAGGGGGAAAGCGGGGGACCGUAAGGCCUCGCGCAAUUAGAGCGGCCGAUACCUGAUUAGCUAGUUGGUGAGGUAAAGGCUCACCAAGGCAACGAUCAGUAGCUGGUCUGAGAGGACGAUCAGCCACACUGGGACUGAGACACGGCCCAGACUCCUACGGGAGGCAGCAGUGGGGAAUUUUGGACAAUGGGGGCAACCCUGAUCCAGCAAUGCCGCGUGAGUGAAGAAGGCCUUCGGGUU